CCCUUAGACGUUCUGGGCCGCACGCGCGCUACACUGACGAAGGCAACGAGCUUUCCUUUACCGAAAGGUACGGGUAAUCUUUUGAAACUUCGUCGUGCUGGGGAUAGAUCCUUGCAAUUAUUGAUCUUAAACGAGGAAUUCCUAGUAAGCGCAAGUCAUCAACUUGCGUUGAUUACGUCCCUGCCCUUUGUACACACCGCCCGUCGCUACUACCGAUUGAAUGGUUUAGUGAGGCCUUCGGAUCCGCGACUCGUUUUGUUGAGAAGUUGGACAAACUCAGUCAUUUAGAGGAAGUAAAAGUCGUAACA
rnacentral:rRNA from 1 species